GACGUAGGGCGCGAGCGUUGUCCGGAUUUAUUGGGCGUAAAGAGCUCGUAGGCGGCUUGUCGCGUCGACUGUGAAAACCCGCGGCUCAACUGCGGGCCUGCAGCCGAUACGGGCAGGCUAGAGUUCGGUAGGGGAGACUGGAAUUCCUGGUGUAGCGGUGAAAUGCGCAGAUAUCAGGAGGAACACCGGUGGCGAAGGCGGAUCUCUGGGCCUUACCUGACGCUCAGGCACGAAAGCUAGGGGAGCAAACAGG
rnacentral:rRNA from 1 species